GUUGACGUCCUGUCCGCACGUGACUAGUAUCUAAGGCCGCGGACAACGGAAGUUAAAGGGGCAAACUAAAGGGAAUUGCACUCACUAUGAGUACCUGUUUCCGGACAGCACUCUCAAAAAGUAUUCACAGAAAAAGACUACAUAAAACAAUUAAUCUUCAUUCACGCGGCUGUUCCCUCUACAGAGGGUGUGUCACUUGACUUCCGGUCCACUGAGGAUGCAGCCUCGUUAUCAGAUUUCGGGUGAUCGUAAUGAGGAUUAGAGAAACCAUGGAGACCGUUGUCAUCGUCAUGCUGUAGCUAUCAACAUGUUCAAAGACUUUGUAAAUAAGAAUGACACACAAGAACAAUUGAUGACGUCACAAAACAUUUUUGAGAGACAAAAGAAACAGAUACUUAUUCGAUUAAUUUUUUAAUUAAGCUACAGAUUCUUAAUUAAGAACGAUUGAAAACUACUCACAGAUCGGCUGAAAUUCAUUGUGACACUGUUACCACGAUUUCUAUAUUUUCUUCUCAUAAUAAAGAUGGUGAGCAUGGC
rnacentral:sRNA from 1 species